GAUCCUGGCUCAGGACGAACGCUGGCGGCGUGCCUAAUACAUGCAAGUCGAGCGCAUGAAAUUAUUUGAUUCUCUUCGGAGUUGACGAUAAUGGAAUGAGCGGCGGACGGGUGAGUAACACGUAGGCAACCUGCCUGUAAGACUGGGAUAACUCGUGGAAACGCGAGCUAAUACCGGAUAACACUUUUUAUCUCCUGAUGAGAAGUUGAAAGGCGGCUUUUGCUGUCACUUACAGAUGGGCCUGCGGCGCAUUAGCUAGUUGGUAAGGUAACGGCUUACCAAGGCGACGAUGCGUAGCCGACCUGAGAGGGUGAUCGGCCACACUGGGACUGAGACACGGCCCAGACUCCUACGGGAGGCAGCAGUAGGGAAUCUUCCGCAAUGGACGAAAGUCUGACGGAGCAACGCCGCGUGAGUGAUGAAGGUUUUCGGAUCGUAAAACUCUGUUGUUAGGGAAGAACAAGUACUAUAGUAACUGAUAGUACCUUGACGGUACCUAACCAGAAAGCCACGGCUAACUACGUGCCAGCAGCCGCGGUAAUAC
rnacentral:rRNA from 1 species